UACGUAGGGUGCAAGCGUUAAUCGGAAUUACUGGGCGUAAAGCGUGCGCAGGCGGUUCGUUGUGUCGGCGGUGAAAGCCCCGGGCUUAACCGUGGGAAUGGCCGUUGAAACUGGCGAACUGGAGUGUGGCAGAGGGGGGUGGAAUUCCGCGUGUAGCAGUGAAAUGCGUAGAGAUGCGGAGGAACACCGAUGGCGAAGGCAGCCCCCUGGGCUAACACUGACGCUCAGGCACGAAAGCGUGGGGAGCAAACAGG
rnacentral:rRNA from 1 species